CCUACGGGAGGCAGCAGUGGGGAAUAUUGGACAAUGGGCGCAAGCCUGAUCCAGCAAUGCCGCGUGAGUGAUGAAGGCCUUAGGGUCGUAAAGCUCUUUUACCAGGGAUGAUAAUGACAGUACCUGGAGAAUAAGCUCCGGCUAACUCCGUGCCAGCAGCCGCGGUAAUACGGAGGGAGCUAGCGUUGUUCGGAAUUACUGGGCGUAAAGCGUACGUAGGCGGUUAUUCAAGUCAGAGGUGAAAGCCCGGGGCUCAACCCCGGAACGGCCUUUGAAACUAGGUAGCUAGAAUCUUGGAGAGGUCAGUGGAAUUCCGAGUGUAGAGGUGAAAUUCGUAGAUAUUCGGAAGAACACCAGUGGCGAAGGCGACUGACUGGACAAGUAUUGACGCUGAGGUACGAAAGCGUGGGGAGCAAACAGGAUUAGAUACCCUGGUAGUCCACGCCGUAAACGAUGAUAACUAGCUGUUCGGGCACUUGGUGCUUGAGUGGCGCAGCUACGCAUUAAGUUAUCCGUCCGUCGGGAGGUACGGUCGCGAAGAAGUUAAAACUUAAAAGGUAAAGUUAGUACGGCGUGAGACGUGCCGAACGGACGACGACGAGGGAGUAGG
rnacentral:rRNA from 1 species